CGCCGCCCCCGCCGGGACCGCGGCCCGGGGGCCGGCCAGGGAUGGGCAGGCGGGCGAGCACCUCUGCACAGGGCCGCCGCUUACCUGGAGGGCAACACCGUGCCUGGGCGACCUGUUGUCUGCAGGGCAGCGCCUUAGCGAGCCAAGUGCCUCUGCUCCCCUCGGGGCAGCAGGGCAUCGCGCAACUGCUAAUCCGGAAGGUCAGGACCUUAAACAAUUGGUCUGAGAUAGCUUUUUCACCAGCACAGAACACCAACGCAACAAGAAGUUUCCUGACAUAAGGUGUGGUCACAGUUACUUCUUUCUGAGGACAUUUUGGAGUCUGCGCUCUGAUCUAAUUCUAUCAAGACCCUUUCUGAAGACUUCUAAAAGUUACAGAUGGUACAUGUUUCCGGGCAAGAACUUCUUUAUUUCAAACGCAGCAAAGCAAGAGUUCCUUAUUACAUAGACUGGUAGUCCACAGAGAAACAAGUCCGAUCAUAGUUACUGUCAGUAGGGGCUUAAGCUUCCCUUCAUUUCAUCAUUAGUUAAUUAAUCAGGAUAUUGAAUUGUGAAAUGCAUAAAUGUAAUUUGUUAGGAGUUAAGAAACGUAAUGUUUGUUCUAUUUGUGUUCUCAGGUACUUUAUGAAACAUUUGUUAUCAUAUACGCUCAUGAUUAGAAAAGUAUCCUACAUCUGCAAAUGAUGACAUAGUAGAUUUAAUCUCAGCUUUCCUCAGGAGUUCAAGUAAUGGAGCAAUAUCAACACACCCAGCUUCCAUUGCUCCAUGUACUGUGACUCGCAUUUCAUUCAUAUCUAAAUUAUUACCUGCAGAUGAAGUUCUAUCCUGAAGCACAUUGAGCAAACCAUAGGUGAAAAUAUUAAGUACUUUUUCCCCCUCGUCUUACAAAGCAGCUACACAUUUCAGUCGUUAGACUCAGUUUGGAUGAAUCUCUGUAUAAAUUCAAGCUGAAAUAUAAGUAAGGAGACCAUUCUGUGUUUGCCAGCUGGAUAAUUGCAGUCUUAAGGCAAAAUCAGCGUUGAAUCAACGCAGAGGAAGAUGUAACAUCAUAUUAAAGAAACACAUCUGUGGAAAUGGAUUGAAAGUCUAUGGCAGUUUUCACUAGUUUCAGAUGGGGGACAGGAAUUCAGUAGAAACUUGCAUUACAGUACUAAUACAAAUUAUUGAGCCAUCUUUCUUUCUUUCUGCAACCAAACUCUGUUCAAGGACUGUCAAAGAGAAUGAAUAGGGAUUAUGGCAAGACAGUGCCCAGUCAUAUUUCAGUGAUAAUUCAGACAAGUUUCAGAAUUUACCAACAUGACUUGCCAACACAAAUAAAAACCUAUGAAUGAAUGAAGUGCUUGCA
rnacentral:lncRNA from 1 species